rnacentral:rRNA from 1 species
UGGGGAAUAUUGGACAAUGGGCGCAAGCCUGAUCCAGCCAUGCCGCGUGAGUGACGAAGGCCUUAGGGUUGUAAAGCUCUUUUGGCGGGGAAGAUAAUGACGGUACCCGCAGAAUAAGCUCCGGCUAACUUCGUGCCAGCAGCCGCGGUAAUACGGGGGGUGCAAGCGUUGUUCGAAAUUACUGGGCGUAAAGCGUACGUAGGCGGUUCGGUAAGUCCCAUGUGAAAUCCCACGGCUCAACCGUGGAAGGUCAUGGGAAACUGCCAGGCUAGAGUGUGAAAGGGGAGAGUGGAAUUCCCAGUGUAGUGGUGAAAUACGUAGAUAUUGGGAGGAACACCGGUGGCGAAAGCGACUCUCUGGUUCAUAACUGACGCUGAGGUACGAAAGCGUGGGGAGCAAACAGGAUUAGAUACCCAUGUAGUCCCUGAGCGGGCUGGCAAGGCGCAU